GGUGUGUUAAUUUAAUGGUAGAAUAUAGUACUUCGGUUACUGAUAUAUAAGUUCAAAUCUUAUACACACUU